GAUCCUGAGAUUAGCUCAGUUGGUUAGAGCCCAGUGCUAAUAAUGCCAAGGUUUGGGUUCAAUCCCCGUAUGGACCA